rnacentral:lncRNA from 1 species
UUUCUAUUCACUUUCUUUUUUUUAUUUCAAGCUACAUACAUGUACAUGAUUUUGACAAAAUUCCUGCAUCAAAUCAUUUCAUGUUCAACACAAACAAAUAACAUGACUAUACAAGUAGUCUAAAGAACACCAUUGAAAGUUGAAUUUCAGAUCAAAUAUCAACAUUCUCAAAAUGUAAUCUUCAGCAGUGCAAGAUUACUUGAAUUUCUUUUCUCCAUAAUUGAGGAAUAAAAGUCAAUCAAUUUCAGUGUUCCAAAUUCUUUAGCAACAAAAAUUUCAGGAUUGAUCCAAGACAUAAGUUGUUCUCAUGAAGAAGAAACCUUAUGUACUACUACUUAAAGGAAUAGCCUUCAUGUGCAGAGCUGGAUCUGAUAGCAAGUUUGAAAUUACUGAAAGGAAAUAAUUCAAAUUUGAUAAAAAAAAAAUUAAAAUUAAAUCUCCAGGGUUUCCCCUGUAAUUUUGCACUAUAUACAAAUUUCAAAAGAAUUUCUAGGUAUUUAUGGUAGAGAAAUAUUAUAAACUUAUCAAGUCUUUAAAUGAAUGAAAAUGAGUGUCAAAAUGUACAACCUCUGGCUAACCUGUCAAAAAAAUAUUCAACUUCUAAUGGUAUUUAGGGACGACAUCAAAAGAUCAAUGUAUGUGUAUAAACAUAUAUCA